UCGUAUUUACAGUUCGCGGUUUCGAGCUUUGCAACACGCAAUGAGUAAACUAAAACUAAUUUUGUGACUCGGUAAUCAAGUAAAUGUGCAGCGGUCUAAUUUAGUUCAGUGUUGCACGUGCAAAAUACAUCCUCGUAAAUGGGUUAUCGCUGCGAGAGGACAACUAAUUUUUUGUUCAGUUUUCAAAGCUUAUGAGGUAUGAAAAGAAAAGGAAGUAACGGUAACGACAUCGGCUUGUUGCUUUCUCCACUCCUCUUUCAUCAGCGUCAUGUGUGUGAAUGUACAAGUGAAUGUGUGUGCUACCCUUAAAAUUCUCAGUGAAUAUUAUUGAAAUGUGUGAAAUGCAAGCGAAAAAAUCACAAGCGUUUUAAAAUGCAAAAUAUGGGAUGGAUAGCAAAUGGAUACGUACGAACAAUAGAAUUGCGUAAGAGUUCAAAGAGCUUAGUUCAUAGUACUACCUCACUGGAUUGAGUUUUGACUAUAGAUAAAUUUGAAUCGGCGAUGAUGAAAAACAAUUGUUGGCUUCCGCUGUGACACGCGAAUCGAGGAGCGUGCAAGGAUUUCGAGGACCCAACCACACCCAUUUUGCUGGCU